rnacentral:rRNA from 1 species
GAGUUAUUUACUCCCAAACCCUUUGUGAACCUUACCUUUUUGUUGCUCGGCGCACCGCGGGCCGCGGCUCCGGCCCGUCCCGCAGCGCGCCAGAGGACCCAACUCUUCAAUUUAUAGCGUACCUUCUGAUUUACAAAACAAACAAGUUAAAACUUUCAACAACGGAUCUCUUMGGUUCUGGCAUCGAUGAAGAACGCAGCGAAAUGCGAUAAGUAAUGUGAAUUYGCAGAAUUCAGUGAAUCAUCGAAUCUUUGAACGCACAUUGCGCCCGGCAGUAAUCUGCCGGGCAUGCCUGUCCGAGCGUCAUUUCACCCCUCGAGCCGCUUUUAGUGGAUCGGUGUUGGGGCACUACGGUAAAACGUAGGCCCCGAAAUGAAGUGGCGGUCCCGCCGCGGUGCCCCCAUGCGUAGUAACGUCUAGUCUCGCAUCGGGUCCCGGCGGAGGCCUGCCGUCAAGCCUAUUUAUUCUCAGAAUAGUUUGACCUCGGAUCAGGUAGGGUUACCCGCUGAACUUAAGCAUAUC